rnacentral:lncRNA from 1 species
AGACAUCAACAACAUGUUAAAAUAAUCGAAUUUGGAAUAUACAUACAAAUGUAGUAGGUUGACAAUAAGCAUAUGAACUAAAAAUACCAAAAUCAUAUAAAUAAAGCAUCUACAGAAUGUACAUAUUGAAGAACAAAUAUGUGUUUAGUGGAACUUGUCAACAAAUAAUACGACUGUUAACAAUAAGCACAUGAACAGAAAAAUCGGACAAAGCAAGUAAGCUAUUUUGGAA